ensembl:snRNA U6 U6 spliceosomal RNA
CUGCUUGCUUCAACAGCAUGCAUACUAACAUGGGAAUGGUACAGAGAAGACAAGCAAGGCUCCUGUGCGUGGAUGGUGCACAGACCCAGGAAGAGCUCCACACAUUU